UAGGGAAUCUUCCGCAAUGGACGAAAGUCUGACGGAGCGACGCCGCGUGAGUGAUGAAGGUCUUCGGAUCGUAAAACUCUGUUGUUAGGGAAGAACAAGUAUCGAUCGAAUAGGUCGGUACCUUGACGGUACCUAACCAGAAAGCCCCGGCUAACUACGUGCCAGCAGCCGCGGUAAUACGUAGGGGGCGAGCGUUGUCCGGAAUUAUUGGGCGUAAAGGGCUCGCAGGCGGUCUUCUAAGUCUGAUGUGAAAUCUCGUAGCUUAACUACGAGCGGUCAUUGGAAACUGGGAGACUUGAGGACAGAAGAGGAGAGUGGAAUUCCACGUGUAGCGGUGAAAUGCGUAGAGAUGUGGAGGAACACCAGUGGCGAAGGCGACUCUCUGGUCUGUAACUGACGCUGAGGAGCGAAAGCGUGGGGAGCGAACAGG
rnacentral:rRNA from 1 species